AGAGUUUGAUCAUGGCUCAGGAUGAACGCUGGCGGCGUGCCUAAUACAUGCAAGUCGAACGCUUCACUUCGGUGAAGAGUGGCGAACGGGUGAGUAAUACAUAAGUAACCUGGCAUCUACAGGGGGAUAACUGAUGGAAACGUCAGCUAAGACCGCAUAGGUGUAGAGAUCGCAUGAACUCUAUAUGAAAAGUGCUACGGGACUGGUAGAUGAUGGACUUAUGGCGCAUUAGCUUGUUGGUAGGGUAACGGCCUACCAAGGCGACGAUGCGUAGCCGACCUGAGAGGGUGACCGGCCACACUGGGACUGAGACACGGCCCAGACUCCUACGGGAGGCAGCAGUAGGGAAUUUUCGGCAAUGGGGGAAACCCUGACCGAGCAACGCCGCGUGAAGGAAGAAGUAAUUCGUUAUGUAAACUUCUGUCAUAGAGGAAGAACGGUGGAUAUAGGGAAUGAUAUCCAAGUGACGGUACUCUAUAAGAAAGCCACGGCUAACUACGUGCCAGCAGCCGCGGUAAUAC
rnacentral:rRNA from 1 species